rnacentral:rRNA from 1 species
GACAGAGGGUGCAAACGUUGUUCGGAAUUACUGGGCGUAAAGCGAGUGUAGGCGGUUUGGUAAGUCGGAUGUGAAAGCCCCGGGCUCAACCCGGGAAGUGCACUCGAUACUGCCAAGCUAGAGUAUCGGAGAGGUUGGUGGAAUUCUCGGUGUAGCGGUGAAAUGCGCAGAUAUCAGGAGGAACACCAGUGGCGAAGGCGGCU